rnacentral:rRNA from 1 species
CAGCCAUGUAGCGUGCAGGAUGACAGGCCCUAAUGGGUUGUAAACUGCUUUUAUGUGGGGAUAAAGUGCGUGACGUGUCAUGCAUUGCAGGUACCACAUGAAUAAGGACCGGCUAAUUCCGUGCCAGCAGCCGCGGUAAU